CACUUUGUAUAAGUAUAUGAAAGAACAACGCAGUACUAAAUAGCGUUUUCAAAAAGCACACACCAGCCAGUCGUUGGUUGGCAGCUGUGGAACAUGGACAUUUGGCGCUUGCUGAAGUAAAAGUCAAAGCAAAAUAUUGUUAAAGGCUAACUGAUUGCAUACACCUACAUACAUAGAGAUACAAAGCCAAUGCGCUUAAAAUAUUUACGCCAGCAGAAAGUGCAGCGAAAUAGCAAGAAAAUGGAGACACUUUCGUAUUAACUCAGAAUGCUUAUGUAAACCUGGGUGGCUCAACACAAUUUAUGUCCAGCGUAUAAAAAAUUAUUAGUGGCAGUGUUGUCGUGGUAUUCGUUGAAUAGAAAAAGUCCAAGAAAAAUACUAUACAGCCGAUAUGCAGAUUAUUUGUGUAUUCUAAACGAAGCUUGCAACAACAAAGAUUUACUUGAAAUUGUUUCGUCUUCGUACUUUUGGCAAAAAUAAAGCAAUAAAAUAGGAAGAAACGAUACAAUAACGUCUGGGAUACACACAGAAACACAUACGUUUGCCUAUGUUUUGAUGACAAUAAUAAUAUUGGGCAACAAAAAUAUAUACGCUGUAUCACAAUUUGCCAUAAAUAACUUGUUCCGUGUUUUUCUCGUGCGCUGAAAAUAUUACGGAAAUGCCGAAACUAGCUUUGUUAGCACAUUAGUAAUCCAGUUGAUUUGUUAAAUGGCUCGUUUAUACAUAUCGUUGCAAGUCGUAUGAUGCUAUCGUACUUUUUUAACCAAAAUCUAGCAUUUGUUCAAUUCACUUCGUGUUCAAUCUUUCGCUAUAACUUUGCAUACUUCGUGGGAAGCAAAAUAUAUAUUUUUAAACAGC